rnacentral:rRNA from 1 species
GUCCACGCCGUAAACGUUGGGCACUAGGUGUGGGACUCUAUCGACGGGUUCCGUGCCGUAGCUAACGCAUUAAGUGCCCCGCCUGGGGAGUACGGCCGCAAGGCUAAAACUCAAAGGAAUUGACGGGGGCCCACACAAGCGGCGGAGCGUGUGGCUCAAUUCGAUGCAACGCGAAGAACCUUACCUGGGCUUGACAUGUACGGUAAAGCGGAUGAAAGUCCGUGUGCUUCGGCGCCGUACACAGGUGGUGCAUGGCUGUCGU